UCAAGCUACUAAGGGCACAUAACGGAUGCCUUGGCUCUGAUAGGCGAUGAAGGACGCGUCAAGCAGCGAUAAACCCCGGGGAGUGGCAAUAACACUUUGAUCCGGGGGUUUCCGAAUGGGGAAACCCAGCAGAAGUAAUGUUCUGUUAUCCUUAACUGAAUACAUAGGUUAAGGAAGCGAUACCCAGGGAAGUGAAACAUCUCAGUACCUGGAGGAAAAGAAAUCAAUUGAGAUUCCGCAAGUAGUGGCGAGCGAACGCGGAACAGCCUAAACCACUGUGUUUACACGGUGGUGUUGCGGGACCCGGAUACGGUAUAACAAAGGUUAGUCGAAUGUUUUGGAAUGUUCAACCACAGAAGGUGAAAGUCCUGUAAACGAAAACCUGAGUUAACCCACGGGUAUCCCAAGUAGGGCGGAACACGUGAAACUCCGUCUGAAACUGGGGGGCCCACCCUCCAAGGCUAAAUACUAAUCAGAGACCGACAGCGCAUAGUACCGUGAGGGAAAGGUGAAAAAGUACCCCGAGAGGGGAGUGAAAAGUACCUGAAAUUAUGUGCCUACAAAGUGUAGGAGCUGGAAUUUAUUCUGGUGACUGCAUGCCUUUUGCAUAAUGAGUCUGCGACUUACUCCUAUAUGGCAAGGUUAAGCCUUGGGCGCAGCCGCAGCGAAAGCGAGUGUUAAUAGCGCGUUUAGUCAUAUGGGGUAGACCCGAAACCAAGUGAUCUAUCCAUGGUCAGGUUGAACCCUCUGUAACAGGAGGUGGAGGACCGAACCAGUACAUGUUGAAAAAUGUUUGGAUGAACUGUGGAUAGGGGUGAAAGGCCAAUCAAACUUGGUGAUAGCUGGUUCUUUUCGAAAUAGCUUUAGGGCUAGCCUUGCGUAAUAGUUAUCGGGGGUAGAGCUCUGAUUGUUCACGGGCCCUUACCGGGGUACCAACAACUAUCAAACUACGAAUACCGGUAACCGUAUCGCAGGAGUCAGACUGUGGGGGCUAAGCUCCAUAGUCGAAAGGGAAACAGCCCAGACUGCCGUCUAAGGUCCCUAAUCUAAACUAAGUGGAUUGAAGGAGGUGGAGUUGCGUAAACAGCCAGGAUGUUGGCUCAGAGGCAGCCAUCAUUUAAAGAGUGCGUAAUAGCUCACUGGUCGAGUGAUUCUGCGCCGAAGAUGAUCGGGACUAAAGUUUAGAACCGAAGACGCAGGUGUACAAUUUAUUGUACGCGGUAGAAAAGCGUUGUAUACGGGGUGAAGUCGAAGCGGAAGCGACGGUGGACCGUAUACAAGUGACCAUGCAGACAUGAGUAGCGAAAAACCAGGUGAGAAUCCUGGUCACCGAAAGCCUAAGGUUUCCUGGGGAAGGUUCGUCCGCCCAGGGUUAGUCAGCCCCUAAGGCGAGGCCGAAAGGCGUAGUCGAUGGACAAAAGGUUAAUAUUCCUUUACCACCUUAUCUGAGCGAUGGAGGGACGCAGUAAGCUAAGUCAGCUGCCGAUUGAAUGUGGCAGUCUAAGGUCGUAGGGCGUUAGGUAGGCAAAUCCGCCUAACAUUAAGCCUGAGAACCGGGGACACGGAGUCUACGGACAAAGUGGAUUGGCUGAUGCUACACUGACGAGAAAAGCUUCUAAGUGUUGAAGAUAGGGUGACUGUACCACAAACCGACACAGGUAGGCGAGGCGAGAAGCCUAAGGUGCGCGAGAGAAACCACGUUAAGGAACUCGGCAAAUUAGCCCCGUAACUUCGGGAGAAGGGGUGCCACAUGAGGUGAAGAGACUUGCUCUCGGAGCUAAAAGUGGUUGCAACAAAGAGGCUCGGGCGACUGUUUAGCAAAAACAUAGCACUCUGCUAACUCGCAAGAGGAUGUAUAGGGUGUGACACGUGACCAAUGCCGAAAGGUUAAAUGGAGAGGUUAGCGUAAGCGAAGCUUUGAAAUGAAGCCCCGGUGAAUGUCGGCCGUAACUAUAACGGUCCUAAGGUAGCGAAAUUCCUUGUCGGGUAAGUUCCGACCUGCACGAGUCGUGUAACGAUCUGGGCGCUGUCUCAACGAGGAUCUCGGUGAAGUUGUAAUUCCGGUGAAGAUGCCGGAUACCCGCAGUAGGACGGAAAGACCCCGUGCACCUUUACUGUAUUCUGAUACUGGCUUUUGUUUUAGCACGUGUAUCAUAGCUGGGAGGCUUUGAAGCCCUGUCGUCAGGUAGGGUGGAGCCAUCAGUGAAAUACCAGUCUUGUUAAUGUGGAAGUCUAACCCUAGCCCGUGAAUCCGGUUGGGGGAC
rnacentral:rRNA from 1 species